AUGAAUUUAGUUUAAAUCGAAUACUAGCUUGUCGUGCUAUAGGUGCUUUGUGUGCAAUUCAUU
rnacentral:tRNA from 1 species